rnacentral:rRNA from 1 species
UUGUCAUUAGUUGCCAUCAUUUAGUUGGGCACUCUAAUGAGACUGCCGGUGACAAACCGGAGGAAGGUGGGGAUGACGUCAAGUCCUCAUGGCCCUUAUGGGUAGGGCUUCACACGUCAUACAAUGGUCGGUACAGAGGGUUGCCAAGCCGCGAGGUGGAGCCAAUCCCUUAAAGCCGAUCGUAGUCCGGAUCGUAGUCUGCAACUCGACUACGUGAAGUCGGAAUCGCUAGUAAUCGCAGAUCAGCAUGCUGCGGUGAAUACGUUCCCGGGUCCUU